rnacentral:rRNA from 1 species
UUCCGGUUGAUCCCGCAAGGAACCCACUAGCUAUCGAGCUGGGACUAAGUCCAUGCUAGUAUUCCGUCCCUGGUCCAUUGUCGGGGAAGUGGCAGACUGCUCAGUAACACGUAGGCUUACCUUGCCGUCGGGACAGAGACUACCCCCGGGACUCUGCGGCUAAUCCCCGAUAGGUGCAGAGGCGUGUAACGGUGCCUCUCCCACAGGUCUGUGCGCCCACGUCGCGCGCUGACGCUCAAGCAUGUUGUUGCGGCCGAUCAGCCUCUUGGUGAGGUAUCGGCUCACCAUACCUUUGCCCGGUACGGCCCGUGAGAGCGGUAGCCUGGAGAUCGUCACUGAGACAAGGUAUCAGGCCCUACUCGGCGCAGCAGGCGCGAAACCUCCCCAAUGCACGCAAGUGCGAUGGGGGUACCUUGAGAGCCGUAUGAUUAAGGCGGCUUUUCCGCGAUGUAAUGAGCCGUGGGAAUAAGAGGGGGGCAAGACUGUUGUCAGCCUCCGCGGUAACACCACCCCGUGGAGUGGUCGGGAUGUUUAUUUGGCCUUAAGCGUUGGUAGCCGGCUCGGUAAGUCCCCCGUUAAAUCCAGCGUCCCAAGCGCUGGGCCGCGAGGGAGACUGCCAUCAUAGAGGGUGGGAGAGGUCAGCGGUAUUCGGGGGUAGGGGGGAAUUCCUUUGAUGACAGGAGGACCCCCAGUGGCGAAGAUCGGAGACUAGAACACCCCUAGCGGAGAGGGAAAAAAACGGGGGGAGCGAAUCGGAUUAGAUGACCCAGUACUGCCCUCCUCAAAUAUCACAGAUUAGGUGCAGUAUCGCGCGCGCGUCGCUUCAGUAAGACAGGGAAGCCAUUAAGCCUGGAGCCUGGGGAGUACGGCCGCAAGGGUGAAAGUUAAAGGAAUUGGCGGGGGAGCUCCAC